rnacentral:rRNA from 1 species
AUGGCCGAGCACUCGACCUCCUCCGCCACCUCUCCGGCCACCAGCUCGGCCACCUUGCCGGGGGCUCUCUCCAGCUCGUCCACCGACGCCGGCACCACCGCCGGCACUUCUCCUCCCUUCAUCUUCGACACCACCCCCUCUUCCCAUACUGGCUCAUCCCCAUCGCUCGGCUCUCAGUUCGCCCCCUCUUCCCUCCCUCCACAGCGUCGUGCUCUCCUUCGCCGCCGCUCCCUCCCCCACCCCAUUUUCCGCGACAGCAUCCAGAACCACAUCAAGUUUCUUCUCAACCCCGACGAUCACAAAUAUCACAAGUGGAAGUCCUUCUUCCUCCUUGUUUUUAUCCUCUAUGGCGUCGCCCAGUUCAUCGAACAGCCCCUCCCCCCCAACGCCACCGCCUUCCAGCGCGAGCUCGACGCCCACCUUGUGCUUUGGAUCUACUCCACCCUCGCCGACAACCUCGUCGAUCACGUCGUCGGGGCUACCACCACCUACGAUCUCUCGCACCGCAUUCGCGACUACUUCCUGGCGAACCGCACGGCACGGUACAUGAUGUUGAACCGGCAAUACCACAACCUCAAGCAAGGAGAUCUCUCUGUCGCCGAGUAUGCCCGCCGCAUGAAGCUUCUCACCGCCGGGCUGGCUGACAUCGAGCACGCCGUCAUUGAGGUGGAUCUCACCACUCAGUUUCUUCACGGCAUCGACAAACGCCUCGACACCAUCCGCGUCGUGCUCGGGGACACGGUUCCUCUGCCGCUGUUCGAGACGGUGUUCUCUCGCCUGAAGCUCGCCGAGGAGAAUCUCGCCCAGCGCGUGGCUGAUGAGCCGGCCAUGAUUCUCGCCGUCACCGGGGGCGGCGGCCCCUCCAGCAGCUCUUCUGGAUCCGGCGGCUCCGGUCCUCGCCCCAUCGACCGCGCCGAUCGCUCCAAU